CCUACGGGUGGCAGCAGUGGGGAAUAUUGCACAAUGGGGGAAACCCUGAUGCAGAAACGCCGCGUGAGUGAAGAAGUAUUUCGGUAUGUAAAGCUCUAUCAGCAGGGAAGAGAAUGACGGUACCUGACUAAGAAGCCCCGGCUAACUACGUGCCAGCAGCCGCGGUAAUACGUAGGGGGCGAGCGUUAUCCGGAUUUACUGGGUGUAAAGGGAGCGUAGGCCGGUCUUUAAGCGUGCCGUGAAAUUUUGUGGCUCAACCAUGAGAGUGCGGCGCGAACUGGAGACCUUGAGUGCGCGGAAGGCAGGCGGAAUGCGUGGUGUAGCGGUGAAAUGCUUAGAUAUCACGAAGAACUCCGAUUGCGAAGGCAGCCUACUAAACUGCCACUGACAUUGAUGCUCGAAAGUGUGGGUAUCAAACAGGAUUAGAUACCCGAGUAGUC
rnacentral:rRNA from 1 species